AACCAUAGAAACCUGCGGAGUACCUGCGGAAGGAUCAUUACCGAGUUUACAACUCCCAAACCCCUGUGAACAUACCAAUUGUUGCCUCGGCGGAUCAGCCCGCUCCCGGUAAAACGGGACGGCCCGCCAGAGGACCCCUAAACUCUGUUUCUAUAUGUAACUUCUGAGUAAAACCAUAAAUAAAUCAAAACUUUUAACAAUGGAUCU
rnacentral:misc_RNA from 1 species